GCCAGUCAUGGUGGUGCAUGCCUGUAGUCCUAGCUACUCAGGAGGCUGAGGUGGGAGGAUUGCCUGAGCCAAGGAGAUCAGGACUGUAGUGAGCUGUGAUCAUGCCACUGCACUUCAGCCUGGGCAACAGGGUGAGACCCUAUCUCAA
ensembl:misc_RNA Metazoa_SRP Metazoan signal recognition particle RNA